rnacentral:rRNA from 1 species
AACGUAGGACACAAGCGUUAUCCGGAAUUACUGGGCGUAAAGCGCGCGCAGGCGGCGGAGUAAGCCACUGAUGAAAGCCCCUGGCUAAACUGGGGGAGGAGCGGUGAGACUGCUUGGCUGGAGGACGAGAGAGGGAUGCGGAAUUCCGGGUGUAGUGGUGAAAUGCGUAGAGAUCCGGAGGAACACCAGAGGCGAAGGCGGCAUUCUGGCUCGUACCUGACGCUGAGGCGCGAAAGCAUGGGGAGCGAACGGGAUUAGAAACCCCCGUAGUCC